rnacentral:lncRNA from 1 species
GCUUUCCUGCGUAUAUCCAGCAUGACUUCCUUUGUGUUACACAAUUACACACAAUACAAACCUCAUCCUUACAGAAGUAAGUAGCAUUGAGUUUUGAUGUGUACUUAACUACUAUACGUAUUUCUGUUUUCCCCAGCUUUGUGGGUUUGUUCACUUUGAAAAAGAAAGAAAGAAAGAAACCCAAGAGGGUACAGGGAAAUUCCACAUCUUCAGCGUUCCUGGAAGCGCGGCUGCUCCCUCUAGUUGGUGAGGGGAAAAAAAUUUCUCACCCUUACAGCUUUUCCUCUUUGUUAAGGAGAAAGGAAGCAAAGUCCCUUCUGCUCUUACCGUGAGACGAGGAACAGCGGGGCCGUGACAGGAAGGCAAGUUUGUGCUCGGUGCGUCCUCUCAGCCCAGCCUGAGCCUUGAAACACACGUGUCCAGCUUGGGGUGGUGGCGCCAGUCCUGCCCUGAACAUCGUAGAAGCAUUCAUUUGCCGGUUUGGAGAUGGUAGUAAUAUAUCUUUAUUCCAGAGGUUUUUUUUUCGCGGCUCGAUAAAGCUGUUACUGUUGAACGUGGAGAGAAAAAAGGAAUCUCAGGGAAUUUCCAUGCUUUUAUUGCUUUUUUUUUUUUGUUAAUGUGUCCCCCUGUUAAGCGUGUAUCACUAGCAAUGCAGCCAGUCUAAUUUUGCUAUCGGAUAAUAACAUCAUGGCCAAAUAAAAAAAAUAGCAUUUUAUGUUAGCCGUUUUUG